ensembl:lncRNA
ACAGUGUACGUUGUCCGUGCUUUAUCAUCGCCUCAACAAUAUCAAAUGUUCUGGAUAACAUGGCACCUGCCAUAAUUCAAUUCUCGUUCUACUUCCGGAGUGACGUGAGAACGACCGAAUAACGGAAGGAGCGGGGUGACGCAGUAACGGAGAAAUUCUACCGAAGACGAACUGGUUCGCGCUGAGCUUUACAGUUUCCCCCUAGUUGGAAAGUUGGACUCUGGGGCUGGGUGUGGCUGCACACCUGCUGUUCAUUCAAUGUGCACAGAUUAAUCCAGCCAUCACCACAUACACUCAAGAAGAUAUUCUACAUGGGAGCAUGUUACACCAUCUGCUUUGUAUCGUUAUACACAAACUAUGCAAUAACCAGUUCCAACAUCACCACCCUGUUUAUUUGUUAUGGUGGAGCCCAGUACAAGCCACCUAGGUGGCGAUUUGCAGCCACCGAGGGGUUUGUAGUAUGGACACCGUUACAAUAUUUGAUUGUGUUUAUCUCACAUAGCUUUCAUUGAUGUGUUUAAUAAAUGCAUGCCGAGGGGAUGUUGGAUUGGUGGAGGUUGAGGGGAUUUAAUUCCAAUGCAUACCAGUGCUAUCUGUAUUAUACAUGUACCCUUUUGGGCACAGAUGAAGCUAUAAUUUAACAUAAAGGGUCACAUAGGACGUGUUGGUGCUCUGUCAACCAUGAAGUAGAAAAUGGAGAUAAAUGUUCCAUCAACUCCAGGGGCUAUUUGCUUUUCAAAGAGCUUUUCGGAGGUGUAGACAUGGAGACAAACUGAAUGUGGCAACUGCCAACCCACCCUUAAACAACAAGACAAACAGGUGGGUUUGAUGGUGUCUUGAUGGAAGGCCCCCAGUCCACCAGUUUAAUCAGUCCGGACUCCGUGGUGAUAUGUUCUGGCAGUGCUCACUCUAUGAACUGCGAAACACAGGCACCCUCAAACAGUGGGCCAAUCUACCAUUCCAGCAUGCAAGUUGGUGUGCUUAUUAUGCCAGAGAGAUGGGAACGAGAUGAGCAAACGAGAUGGGGGAAGAAAGAGAAUCCCAUUUUCAUCUGGCUGAAAAUAUGGACUGUAAAAACAUCAGAUGUACCUCUUCUAGUGAACAAUGCCUUUAGUUCGGUGCGUAUAAGGCAGAAAAAGGAAGGGGGUGUGGAUGGAAAUUCAAUUCAAGAAACAGGAGUAUUAUUAGCAAAGCCGUUGUGUAAUCCAACCUACCAUCUCUGUGCAAUUCACAAAACAAAUAUCCUGGUCUUGAUGAAAAUGCACCACACCAAAUAAUGGAAC